UCUGGUAGCUAUGAUGACUAAUCUUUUUUCCCCAGCAGAUCGACUCUGUUGACUUAAAAAAUAAGAAAUAAGCCAAAUUAACUGAGCAACCAGA